rnacentral:rRNA from 1 species
GGGGUGAGUAACGCGUGGGUAACCUGCCCUAUACACAUGGAUAACAUACUGAAAAGUUUACUAAUACAUGAUAAUAUAUAUUUACGGCAUCGUAGAUAUAUCAAAGUGUUAGCGGUAUAGGAUGGACCCGCGUCUGAUUAGCUAGUUGGUGAGAUAACUGCCCACCAAGGCGACGAUCAGUAGCCGACCUGAGAGGGUGAUCGGCCACAUUGGAACUGAGACACGGUCCAAACUCCUACGGGAGGCAGCAGCC